CAGUUCUUUACAGUUUCUUCAAUAGAUAGUUACCACCAUCUUUUUCUGCCCAUUAUCUCCACAAUUCAAGCCUCCUAACAUGGGUAGGGCCCUCAAUUCAGUUGAAUCGUAUUAUUAUAUAAUGCAGUUCCAUCCAAAAAAAUCACUCCACCUCUGGCAUCUGUAUUAGGGCUCUUUUCUGAACCUUGAUUGCAUUUGAUGGUGCGAUUCAUCCACAAUCUAUGGACAUCAGAUGCACGACCUAAUUGUAAAUCAUAGCCCUGCAAUCAUCACUAGACUUGGGAACAUAGGCGUGCACCGUAAGCGUCCUGGAGGUCGAUGUACUACCGAAGGCAUGCACCACCAGCAGAUCCUCUUUGAACAGAUGCUAUCCCAGUUUCUAAUUGAAGACUCAUCCUUGCACCAGAUUAUAUCCUCGCUUUAAUAGUUGAUUGAUGAACCAUAAUUUUUUCCUUAUCAACAAUUUCAAGAGAAGAAACUCGAGGUUGUGGGGAGAUGACUUUUAUGAUUUCGGUUCAAUUGGAUGCCUUGCUAAUGACAAUAAUGUGAAUUAAAAUUUUGGAUAUCUGCAAUUGAUUUGAUGCAAUUAACAAAUGUAGAAGAUUUUAUGGAUUUGAUUAUGUUUUCCAACAGCGUGUGGUACAUGUCUUGAAGGUAAGUCAUUAGAUAAGAUACUUUUGAUCCAUUUUUUAUUGUCAAAUUUAUUAUUUUUAGACACGGCAGAACUUAAGUUUUGUCUUACUGUGUGGAUUCAUAUGAAGAAAAGCCAAAAAUAAUCACCAAAUGUGAGCAUCAUUUUUAUUUUCAUUUUCAUUUUCAAGUCUUUGAAUAAAAACAUUUAAACAAGUAAACUGUAUCUAUUCUUGCAUGUUUAUACUAAAGGGAAUGUGACAAGCAGAUCUCGAAAUCAAAAUAUGGAAGUCUUCUAUUUUGUAAGAUUAUUUAUGUUAUCAUCAUUUUUUCAUACAUUGAAACUUGCAUAUAAUAUAACCCUUAAUGUUAUUUUGGCUCCUCAUCCCUAAAUAAAGAUCUGAGGUGACAGAAUGUGCGGAUUGACCAGGUUGGGUAAUAGGUCAAAAUGGGGUCAGGUUAUGUGCGGAUUAAACAGGGUCUGCCGGUCUGGUGACACCUUGGUGAUUAUGGGAUUAAUCAAAGCAUAAAAUCCUCUUAAAAAGUCUGUGGUUUUGGCUCAUCUAUGCACGUUGAGGUGGCCACAAUGACCAUUUGUAUGGGAUAGCAGCAUACAUCUCCAAAAGUUGUACAUAUCAUGUUGCAUUUUGUCAUUUAAUGAUUAUUAUAUAAAUAUUUAAUCUUUCUUUAUAUGUUUGUUUAAUAGGUUGUUCUUUUUAGAACCGUAUCCACCAUCCCAAAUUUCUCCCAAGAAUUCUGCACUAUUUUCAUUGGUAUCGCAAACAUUAGAAAUGAGGUUGUCACAUAUGGCUGGGCAAAGGUAGUUUAAAUUCCAUUACCAGCAUAUAUAAUUAAUUAUUUUAUCUUUGCUUUCAACAUAGCUUCAUGUUCACUUACUAAUUACAAGUUAAGGAGGCUUAAGGAGAAGUGACCCCUGAGCAUACCAAGCUGCUACACCUUGAAAAACAAGCUAGACAACAGGGUGUAGGUUUACGGGACAUGUCUCUAGGAUAUGUUGAGGCUGCUAUCAAGUACCUCCCCUCAUCUGUUGUUGGUGAUCCUAGCAAUCUAGAUGCCAUUGGUCUCCCAAUCAACGGAUCACUACCUGAGAAUCAUGGUUUUAAGACAAUCUACUCUUUUUCGGAGAUUUGAGGUUGAUUUAAGUUAAUCUUCCAAGCAAAUAUAUAAACUGCCACAUUUGUUGAGACAGGUGGAUUACAUCCGGGUAAUGGAAUUUAUUUUUCUUGAGAUGUAAUGUUCUUUUUAAGUUUUGUUCUUAUCACAAAAUUAAUAGCAUUAUGCUUGUGUUAAGCUUUAUAUAUAUCACAUCUACUAUUUUUGUUUCUUGAAUUGUUUGACUUCCAGAUUAUUGAAUGUAGUCUAUCUAAGAGGCAAAAUGGGAAGAAAGAUCCAUCUAAAAUUGAAUUGUUUGACCGAUGGGUCAAAAUGGGUUGGACUGGUCAACACCUUUUGUAUACUCUAUUUUUUCUAUAUAUUUUGUAAAUCUUGUGAUUCAACCUUUAAUGAAGCAUAUAUAUUUUGCGAA